AGCUUUGCACAGUGGCAGUGUAGUAGCCAAUGACGUUUAUCCGAGGCGUGAUUACUGCUAAUUGGAAACUUUUCCCGAUACCCCUCCAUGACGACUUGAAAUAUAGUCGGCGUUGGCAAUUUUUGGCAGUCUCUACGGAAA
rnacentral:snRNA from 1 species